GAUGAACGCUGGCGGCGUGCCUAAUACAUGCAAGUCGAGCGAACAGAUGAGGAGCUUGCUCCUCUGACGUUAGCGGCGGACGUGUGAGUAACACGUGGAUAACCUACCUAUAAGACUGGGAUAACUUCGGGAAACCGGAGCUAAUACCGGAUAAUAUAUUGAACCGCAUUGUUCAAUAGUGAAAGACGGUUUUGCUGUCACUUAUAGAUGGAUCCGCGCCGCAUUAGCUAGUUGGUAAGGUAACGGCUUACCAAGGCAACGAUGCGUAGCCGACCUGAGAGGGUGAUCGGCCACACUGGAACUGAGACACGGUCCAGACGCCUACGGGAGGCAGCAGUAGGGAAUCUUCCGCAAUGGGCGAAAGCCUGACGGAGCAACGCCGCGUGAGUGAUGAAGGUCUUCGGAUCGUAAAACUCUGUUAUUAGGGAAGAACAAAUGUGUAAGUAACUAUGCACGUCUUGACGGUACCUAAUCAGAAAGCCACGGCUAACUACGUG
rnacentral:rRNA from 1 species